rnacentral:rRNA from 1 species
GGUCUGUUCGCCCUUUAAAAUCUAACAUGAGCUGAGUUCAGAACGGCGUGAGCUAGUUCAGUUUCUAUCCUCUUUUUAAAAUGAGCUAAUUUUGUACGAAAGGACUUUUUCGCUAAAGCAAUGCUUUGUCACAAAUCUGUGGUUGCAUAAAUAAUAGUGUAUAACAGGUUGAUUAGCCUAUAGGAAGGGUUA